rnacentral:rRNA from 1 species
AGCAGCCGCGGUAAUUCCAGCUCCAAUAGCGUAUAUUAAAGUUGUUGCAGUUAAAAGCUCGUAGUUGAAUUUCGGGAUCAGUAUGUUGGUCGUGCUUCGGUACGUACUGUCAUUACUGGUUUCUACCUUCUGAAGAACCUUGAUGUCAUUAAUUUGGUGUCUUGGGGAAUCAGGACUGUUACUUUGAAAAAAUUAGAGUGUUUAAAGCAAGCAUACGCUUGAAUACAUUAGCAUGGAAUAAUGAAAUAGGACGUUUGAUUCUAUUUUGUUGGUUUCUAGGAUCGACGUAAUGAUUAAUAGGGAUAGUUGGGGGCAUUAGUAUUCAAUUGUCAGAGGUGAAAUUCUUGGAUUUAUUGAAGACUAACUACUGCGAAAGCAUUUGCCAAGGAUGUUUUCAUUAAUCAAGAACGAAAGUUAGGGGAUCGAAGACGAUCAGAUACCGUCGUAGUCUUAACCAUAAACUAUGCCGACUAGGGAUCGGAUGAUGUUAUUUUUAANGACUCAUUCGGCGCCUUAAC